UACGUAGGGGGCAAGCGUUGUCCGGAUUCAUUGGGCGUAAAGAGCUCGUAGGCGGCUUGGCAAGUCGGGUGUGAAACCUCCAGGCUCAACCUGGAGACGCCACCCGAUACUGCCAUGGCUAGAGUCCGGUAGGGAACCACGGAAUUCCUGGUGUAGCGGUGAAAUGCGCAGAUAUCAGGAGGAACACCGGUGGCGAAGGCGGUGGUCUGGGCCGGCACUGACGCUGAGGAGCGAAAGCGUGGGGAGCGAACAGG
rnacentral:rRNA from 1 species